CUAACAGGAUUCCCCUAGUAACUGCGAGUGAAGCGGGAAGAGCUCAAAUUUUAAAUCUGGUGGCCCUGCCGCCCGAGUUGUAUUCUGGAGAAGCGUUUUCCGCGCCGGACCGUGUGCAAGUCCUUUGGAAUGGGGCGUCGUAGAGGGUGAGAAUCCCGUCUUUGACACGGACCGCCGGCGCCGUACGAUGCGCUCUCGAAGAGUCGAGUUGUUUGGGAAUGCAGCUCAAAAUGGGUGGUAAAUUCCAUCUAAAGCUAAAUAUUGGCGAGAGACCGAUAGCGAACAAGUACCGUGAGGGAAAGAUGAAAAGCACUUCGGAAAGAGAGUAAAACAGUACGUGAAAUUGUUGAAAGGGAAACGCUUGAAGUCAGUCGCGCCUGCUGGAACUCAGCCAUGCUUCUGCUUGGUGCACUUUCCAGUCUGGUGGGCCAGCAUCGGUUUUGGGCGGUGGACACUGGCGUUGGGAAGGUGGCAGCUCCGGCUGUGUUAUAGCCCCUCGUCGCAAACUCCGCCUGGGACCGAGGAAACCGGCGCAAGCCUGGGAUGCUGGCGUAAUGGCUUUAAACGACCC
rnacentral:rRNA from 1 species